GGAAGAAACGUUGGCGGCUGUGCUUAACACAUGCAAGUCGAACGGAAAGGCCCUGCUUUUGUGGGGUGCUCGAGUGGCGAACGGGUGAGUAACACGUGAGUAACCUGCCCUUGACUUUGGGAUAACUUCAGGAAACUGGGGCUAAUACCGGAUAGGAGCUCCUGCUGCAUGGUGGGGGUUGGAAAGUUUCGGCGGUUGGGGAUGGACUCGCGGCUUAUCAGCUUGUUGGUGGGGUAGUGGCUUACCAAGGCUUUGACGGGUAGCCGGCCUGAGAGGGUGACCGGCCACAUUGGGACUGAGAUACGGCCCAGACUCCUACGGGAGGCAGCAGUGGGGAAUAUUGCACAAUGGGCGGAAGCCUGAUGCAGCAACGCCGCGUGCGGGAUGACGGCCUUCGGGUUGUAAACCGCUUUCGCCUGUGACGAAGCGUGAGUGACGGUAAUGGGUAAAGAAGCACCGGCUAACUACGUGCCAGCAGCCGCGGUGAUACGUAGGGUGCGAGCGUUGUCCGGAUUUAUUGGGCGUAAAGGGCUCGUAGGUGGUUGAUCGCGUCGGAAGUGUAAUCUUGGGGCUUAACCCUGAGCGUGCUUUCGAUACGGGUUGACUUGAGGAAGGUAGGGGAGAAUGGAAUUCCUGGUGGAGCGGUGGAAUGCGCAGAUAUCAGGAGGAACACCAGUGGCGAAGGCGGUUCUCUGGGCCUUUCCUGACGCUGAGGAGCGAAAGCGUGGGGAGCGAACAGGCUUAGAUACCCUGGUAGUCCACGCUGUAAACGGUGGGUACUAGGUGUGGGGUCCAUUCCACGGGUUCCGUGCCGUAGCUAACGCUUUAAGUACCCCGCCUGGGGAGUACGGCCGCAAGGCUAAAACUCAAAGGAAUUGACGGGGCCCCGCACAAGCGGCGGAGCAUGCGGAUUAAUUCGAUGCAACGCGUAGAACCUUACCUGGGUUUGACAUGGAUCGGGAGUGCUCAGAGAUGGGUGUGCCUCUUUUGGGGUCGGUUCACAGGUGGUGCAUGGCUGUCGUCAGCUCGUGUCGUGAGAUGUUGGGUUAAGUCCCGCAGCGAGCGCAACCCUUGUUCACUGUUGCCAGCACGUUAUGGUGGGGACUCAGUGGAGACCGCCGGGGUCAACUCGGAGGAAGGUGGGGAUGACGUCAAGUCAUCAUGCCCCUUAUGUCCAGGGCUUCACGCAUGCUACAAUGGCUGGUACAGAGAGUGGCGAGCCUGUGAGGGUGAGCGAAUCUCGGAAAGCCGGUCUCAGUUCGGAUUGGGGUCUGCAACUCGACCUCAUGAAGUCGGAGUCGCUAGUAAUCGCAGAUCAGCAACGCUGCGGUGAAUACGUUCCCGGGGCU
rnacentral:rRNA from 1 species